CGCUGCGGCGGCCGCCAUGAGCGGCGCCAGGGCCGGCAGUGGCGGCCCCAGCGCGGCCUCUCCGGCUGAAGGGGGCAGCGGCGCGGCAGCGGCGGAGAAGCAAAGGAAGAAUGGAGUCGACAAAGGUUUGUGAGUCAUUGUUUUUGGUAUGCCAACCCUAAUGUGCUUAGACGCUUUGGAAAUGGGAAGAAGUGGUGUCCCUCUGCUAUGGGCAAGAGGCAAUGCAUUGACAAGUUACUCAGGGUAGUGCUCAGUGCUUAAAUGCUUACUGAGGGCUUUCUGUUUCAUUAGAGAUUUUUUUUUACUACAUAUUUUGGGAAAGGGAAGCAGUAAUAGCAGCAUUUGCCAGGGUCGAAAUAAGAAAUGUAGCAGGAAAUAGCAGUAAAGCUGUCAAAAGCAAAAUGGGAGUGAGUGGCUUAACAGUUGGCCAAUUUCAAAGUACAUGGUGAGGUAUAAGACUGCUGAACGUUGCUGAAGUUCUGUUGUUUCUGAAUCAGGUGAAGUUUGCCAACUACAGGCCAGAUUCCAGGGAGGUGAAAGUAGUUACUUGGUAAAAACUCAAAACAAAACCCCCCACAAUAACGACAUAGACCUUAUGUUGUUAAUCUUCUAAAGAACUCCUAUUGCUAAUAAAGCCAAAGGUCCAAACAGAUGUUACUCCUAAGUAUUGGAAAUACAGGUUUAUCUUCUGUUUAGCAUUUGAAGUGAAAUAAAAACUUCAUUUUCUUGCAAGUAAGUGGAAAGGGAUCAAAUAGUUAAUAAUGCAAAUCGGAGAAACACUCAAAACCGAAAUUAUUUAGAGCUGAUUGAGUUAUACAUUAAGGCUUCUCCUGUCUACUGCCUCUUAUUCUUUCAACACUCUAUUACUUCUGUUUUCUGAACAGGAAUUGGUAUAAACUACAUAGUACUCAUGAAACAUUACAAAUCUGAAUUUUUCUGGAGAUACACAAGUGCCACAUCUGCAUUACAAAUUUUACCCUUAUAGUAGAGUCAUGUCAAAUUAAUUGCAUUGCUAUAAGGGUGGUUAAUGAUCAGAGUUGUGAAUGGCUGCUGGCAAAACAUAGAAAACUAUUUACUUAAAUAUUAAGGCAUGCACAUUCCCUGACAAAAGUAUGCUAAUCAUACCAACUUCCCUUGUGUCUGCUUCUGUAAAUCUCACUAAGACAGUAAAUGAGUGAAACGGUAAUUCCCAUUGACUUUUGCACCUGGCUUCAUUUAAAACUGUUUUAAAUGCUUCUGGGUAUGUUUCUGCCUCGUUAAAGUGCACACCAUUUUAAAAUCUAAAUUUGUAUGGCAAAUGUAGGUUUUGGAAGUUCCAGCUUCUUUCUUCAGCUAUGCUCUGGGGUAUUUUUAUUUCAUGAGUUUUGAAAUGUAUUCCUUCUUUCUGUAAAGUCAUAAGUGGUUGUGUUUGUUUAGGGAAGAAAAAGAAAACAUACAGCAAUACAGUAAUAUAAAUAUAGCAACAUAUGUAAAUAACAUACACAGUGUUAACUUUGCAAUCUCCAUCCAUGGCAUUGGAGCCCUGAUGUAUUACAGACUGAAAAAAAACCCCGGUCAAAGAAUUUCAUGCGGUUGUACAAUGUGAAACAAGUGGAAUAAAGCAAAAAGGAAGACAAAGUAGCAAAGAGACAGCACAUGCCUUCCCUCACUCCCUCAGAGUGGUGAUAAAGCGUUGAGAAAAUUAGCAGCCCUUUUAUCUUGGAGAUUGUGUGCUAUGUUGUACGUGGCUGUGAGCUGUACUACGUGUAUCAGUCUGGCUUGAUGAGAGUGGCAACUCCUUCCUGAGUGUCUUUGAGGGAGAUGAAUGCGAUUAAACUUGGUGGGUCUAAUCCAGUGUGUACUUGAAGAAAGAUGAAAGAAAAGUGUUGACAGUAUUAUAGAAACUAAUCCAAGGUAAUUUGUCUUCUGCUACAGCUUACAGUCCAAACUAGUAGUUUUACCUUAUUCCUCAGGGAUUUCUGUAUUUCUUGGUAGAUGCUUAUUUUACUGGAUGUUCACCUAUUUAGAGACUUCUUAAUUUUUUUUUUUUUUUUUUUUUCUAUUUAGAAUAGGUAGGAGCUGAACUUGUAAUUCAUCUCAGCCUGGAAUCCAGUACUGAUGUAGAAUAGUAUGAAGUGAAGACAUCUUGUCUCUGUUUCAACAGCAGUCAUUAGCUGGGGGAGAUUUGCAUUUUGUAAUACACACCUAAAGGAUUGCAGUUUUGUUUCAGUCCUGUGUGGGAGCUGAUGGAAUAUAAAUCUCAUGUUCUGUCCUCUGCAGUGUGCAUGCCCAACAUCACCUAAACACAAUUCUGUUCUGAAGAUGUUAAAUUUCAUCAUUCUGUAUCCACUAUUGAUUGAAAAAAAAAAGUUCUAAUGAAACUCCUAUGAAGACCUGAGGUCUGAAUUUUCAUACUGAAAGAUUUAAGU
ensembl:lncRNA